rnacentral:rRNA from 1 species
CCUACGUGUGGCAGCAGUGAGGAAUAUUGGUCAAUGGACGAGAGUCUGAACCAGCCAAGUAGCGUGAAGGAUGACUGCCCUAUGGGUUGUAAACUUCUUUUAUAAAGGAAUAAAACGAGGCACGUGUGCCUUGUUGCAUGUACUUUAUGAAUAAGGAUCGGCUAACUCCGUGCCAGCAGCCGCGGUAAUACGGAGGAUCCGAGCGUUAUCCGGAUUUAUUGGGGUGAAAGGGAGCGUAGAGGGGUUGUUAAGUCAGUGGUGUAAGUUUGCGGCUCAACCGUAAAAUUGCAAUUGUUACUGGCAGUCUUGAGUACAGUUGCGGUAGGCGUCAUUCGUGGUGUAGCGG